rnacentral:lncRNA from 1 species
AAGGAUUUUUGGAUAUUUAUGAGAAGUUUUGUUUACCGAGAGAACGAUGUAUGUUGAGCAGAUAAUCGGAACUUUUGCGACUGUUUAAUGCUUCGAUCUUCACUCAGUGGAUGUUUUGGGUGAUUUUCCGACAUCUCUGAACUUUUUCCGGCGACUUUCCAGAUUCUAGGGUUUCUGGUAGUUGAACCUAGGGUUUUAUCUGGUAUCCGAUGGCUCGAUCCUCACUCGGUGGAUGUUUUGGGUGAUAUUCCGACGUCCCUGACCCUAUU